GAUGAAGAACGUAGCGAAAUGCGAUACGUAAUGUGAAUUGCAGAAUUCAGUGAAUCAUCGAAUCUUUGAACGCAUAUUGCGCUCUUUGGUAUUCCGAAGAGCAUGCUUGUUUGAGUAUCAGUAAACACCUCAAGACCUUCAAUUUUUUUUGAUGGUCUUGGACUUGAGCAAACCCAACGCCUUUCUUUUUCAGAUCGAUGGCGGGUUGCUUGAAAUGCAGGUGCAGCUGGACAUUCUCCUGAGCUAAAAGCAUAUCUAUUUAGUCCCGUCAAACGGAUUAUUACUUUUGCUGCAGCUAACAUAAAGGGAGUUUGACCUCAUAUGCUGACUGAUGCAGGAUUUCGCAGAGAUCGUCAAAGAUUUCUGUUAAACUCGAUCUCAAAUCAAGUAAGACUACCCGCUGAACUUAAGCAUAUCAAUAAGCGGAGGA
rnacentral:misc_RNA from 1 species